GUACACGCUGUGACUAGCAUAUCAAUAAGCGGAGGAAAAGAAACUAACAAGGAUUCCCCUAGUAACGGCGAGUGAAGCGGGAAGAGCUCAAAUUUGAAAUCUUAAAGGGUUUCCCUUUACGAAUUGUAGUUUAAAGAAGUGUUUUCUGUUGAGGUUUUGGUAAAAGUUCUUUGGAAUAGGACAUCAUAGAGGGUGAGAAUCCCGUAUUUGACCUUUACUUUCAACUUUGUGAUACACUUUCAAAGAGUCGGAUUGUUUGGGAAUGCAGUCCAAAAUGGGUGGUAAAUUUCAUCUAAAGCUAAAUAUUGGCGAGAGACCGAUAGCGAACAAGUACCGUGAGGGAAAGAUGAAAAGAACUUUGAAGAGAGAGUUAAACAGUACGUGAAAUUGUCAAAAGGGAAGCGUUUGACACCAGUGUUGUUUUUCUGAAAAUCAAUUAAAUGAACUGUUUAUGCUAAGUUGUUUAGACUUUAUCAGCUAACUGUUUAGUUUUGAGCUUUUCUUUAAUGCACUUUUCAGUUAACAAGUCAACAUCAAUUUCUUUUGCUGUAAAAAAGCUUGAGGAAGGUGGCUUGAGAUUCGUCUUAAGUGUUUAUAGCCUCUUGCCUAUGCAGUCGGAGAGAUUGAGGUCUGCAGCGUAGAUCCUUCGGGGCUAAAUGCAUUUGUGCUAAGUUAUAGCAUUUUAUAGACAACUUGUUGACUAUGAUUUGUCUUGUAGCUUACUCGCUUAUGUUAUUUUACCUACGCUUAGGAUGUUGAAGAUGUAGCACAUCAU
rnacentral:rRNA from 1 species